AACGCGAAGAACCUUACCUGGGCUUGAACUACUGGUAGUAAGCUUUUGGAAACAUUAGCUGAUCCGCAAGGAAGCCAGCAGAGGUGCUGCAUGGUUGUCGUCAGCUCGUGUCGUGAGAUGUUGGGUUAAGUCCCGCAACGAGCGCAACCCCUAUCUCAUGUUGCUAAUCCCGCAAGGGAUGCACUUUUGAGAAACUGCCUUCGAUAAGAAGGAGGAAGGUGGGGACGACGUCAAAUCCUCAUGGCCCUUAUGUCCAGGGCUACACACGUGCUACAAUGGCCGGUACAACGGGAAGCAAUACCGCAAGGUGGAGCCAAACCCUGAAAGCCGGCCCCAGUUCAGAUCGUGGGCUGAAACUCGCCCACGUGAAGGCGGAAUCGCUAGUAAUCGCGAAUCAGCAGGUCGCGGUGAAUACGUUCCCGGGCCUUGUA
rnacentral:rRNA from 1 species